rnacentral:lncRNA from 1 species
CUUAAAUGGCACUUUAUUUUAGUUACUUUUUUUCUGUUUCUCUCCCUCUUCCCACCCUCUGACAGGCCCCAGUGUGUGUUGUUCCUCUCUAUAUGUCCAUGUGUUCUCAUCAUUAAGUGGCACUUUAAAGAUGCUUCCAUUAAUUGACAGUUCUGAGUCCAUGAUGGUAAAACUUUUGAGAAACAAACUGACUGCCAAGGAAAAGUCUCCAUGCACUACAAACAGUUUUGGCUUCUUUUGAAGAGAUUGACAAUCAGGAGUCUGAAUCAGGAAUUGACCAGCUGACCAGCUGGCUAAGCACCCAAAUGUGUGUGGUGAGGGUGAGACUUAAAAACAGAGUUCAACGUCUGAAAUCUAGAAGCAAUUUGGUGCCAGUGUUCUCCACACGAGGUAAUUGUGAUGCCUAUAGUUGACAGCUGUUUGCAGGAGUGAUCCAGCCUGAAUGAUGUAUUUUCCCUCACAUUCUUCCCAGUGAUGGACAGUCUGUAUCUGCCUCCUGCCAGCCGGGUUGCAAACAUAAUGUACUCUUUGCGGCUUCAAUCAAAAUGUAUGUUGUUAUAACCUGGAUGAUGUUUGGUAAAGUUCUUUAACUUAAGGAAAAGUAUUUUGUGCCCUGUCA